rnacentral:rRNA from 1 species
GCCCGAAGCUUGCUUUGGGUGGAUGAGUGGCGAACGGGUGAGUAACACGUGAGUAACCUGCCCCUGAUUUCGGGAUAAGCCUGGGAAACUGGGUCUAAUACCGGAUAUGACCUUUCCUCGCAUGAGGUUGGGUGGAAAGUUUUUCGAUUGGGGAUGGGCUCGCGGCCUAUCAGCUUGUUGGUGGGGUAAUGGCCUACCAAGGCGACGACGGGUAGCCGGCCUGAGAGGGCGACCGGCCACACUGGGACUGAGACACGGCCCAGACUCCUACGGGAGGCAGCAGUGGGGAAUAUUGCACAAUGGGGGAAACCCUGAUGCAGCGACGCAGCGUGCGGGAUGACGGCCUUCGGGUUGUAAACCGCUUUCAGCAGGGAAGAAGCCGUAAGGUGACGGUACCUGCAGAAGAAGUACCGGCUAACUACGUGCCAGCAGCCGCGGUAAUACGUAGGGUACGAGCGUUGUCCGGAAUUAUUGGGCGUAAAGAGCUCGUAGGUGGUUGGUCACGUCUGCUGUGGAAACGCAACGCUUAACGUUGCGCGGGCAGUGGGUACGGGCUGACUAGAGUGCAGUAGGGGAGUCUGGAAUUCCUGGUGUAGCGGUGAAAUGCGCAGAUAUCAGGAGGAACACCGGUGGCGAAGGCGGGACUCUGGGCUGUAACUGACACUGAGGAGCGAAAGCAUGGGGAGCGAACAGGAUUAGAUACCCUGGUAGUCCAUGCCGUAAACGUUGGGCACUAGGUGUGGGGGGCAUUCCACGUUCUCCGCGCCGUAGCU